AAGGAUUGGGCCAAGCUUUUCUGGAGCUAAGGGAAGACUGCGGAUUUGAGGCCCUGGAGAUAUAAAGAUAAACAGAACAAAAUAAAACAAAAAAACCCUGGUUCUUGGCUGGCACACAGUUCAAUGGAGGAGUAGACAUAAGAAGAAACAAAUAUGGCACAGUGAUGAAGAAAAUGGAGUUUGUACUGGUUAAGAAGUCUGUCUCAGGUUACUCAGCUGUAUGAAAUAACAUAAUAACAUAUAUGCUUUUACAAGAAUAAUCUUCUGGCCAAAGGUGAGGGGAUGUAGCAAUUCAUGAAUUCAGAAGGAGUGAGAAUCACUUCAAACUAUAGAGUCAAGCAAGGUUUUAUGGAAGAAGAGUCAGGAUGUUGAGCUGGAUUUCAAAGAGCUCAGCAAAGAAGAGAAGACCAGAAUGGGCAUCAGCUACCUCCUGAAUCACUGCCCAGUUGCCAGCUGCAAGUCCUAGUUCCAAAGAAGCAAAUGUCCACAGCACAAAGCCAGAAGACUCUGAAAGGGUAGUGUUGCCAGAUAAUAGCAGAAGGAGCUGCUAUUCUGAAGUCAGGCACAGUUCACAUUAGCUUCCGGAUUAAUGUCACUGGCACAGAGAGCAAGCUCACUGCCAUCAGGUAAGCACACACACAACUUUUUCUAGUCCUGUAAAAAAGAGUAAGGGGGUUGAUUUUCCUCCUCAACUUCUAUCUUAGAAUUCAUAUUGUCCUCUGUGGAGUUCAUUUAUCUCUCUCAUCUGAAGAUGUAGGAUAUGUCUACUCAGGUGGGUGCUCUGAGCAUCUAGGAGCCAAAUUUGAGGAGAAAGCCAGUCUGCAAAAUAGUUGGUUGUUCAGGAGUAGCCUGUGUACUGCCUCCAUGAAAAAUCCUGUUGGUGCUACUGUGCUGGGGGUUUAAAAGAAUGUGUAGCACAGGGGUGGGGUGUUAGGAUACAUUUUUCUUGUACAAAAACUCAAAUGUAUAGUUCAGAAAGAAAGAAAAUAGUCUGGUUCAUUUUGCCACACAAAUGGCAUCUAGACAAAAUUUGGAUCAAUUGGAUUCCAAAUCCUAUUAAGAUAUGAUGGUAAUUGAGAUUCUAUAGCUUUUACAAAGCUGAUUAGGCGAUUUUCACAAUGUAUAAGAAUCUCUGCAGAAUUUCCACUACUGUUUCCACUCCUUUCCAGACUAAGAAAGGAGGAGGAAAGAGGAGAGUGAUGGUUGGGGCAAUCAUUUAAUGCCCUGGAAGACAUUUAAUUGCCUUACAGGUUUUAUUUCUUUCGGCAAACUGGUCUUUGAUUUUUCUGAGCUCACUAUGGAAAACUUUGCUGGUCAUCAAAUUUCUGUUUUUUCUUAUUCUUUGCUCAGUUGUUUUUGUUUGUGUGUGUUUUUAAAGAUUGUUUUAUAAUCUACUUUAAAUCUUAUUUUUAAGUUUCAUUAUGGGAACAAGAGCCAAUUUGCUAAAUUCUU